ACCCUUUCCUAACGCCUCUCGUGCCCUUAUAUGUUCCGUGUUCCGGCAACGGAACUAUGGACAUAAACGCGCCCGUAAUAAGCGGAUCGGACCCGGGGGCGGUACCCGGCGGCUCCACCAAACAUCCCGAUUGGGGGAUCCUGGGGCCGAAACAGGAUCGACGGACGUCUAAAGGGGUAUGCUUUGUCCCGGUGAGGUACCACCGUUAUCGGUCCAAAUCGCAUAGUUGCCAAUACCAACCGUGCUCCGGUCGCGCUCGCUGCUUAAGCAGUGCGCAACACCGAAACUUAAGUCCUUGCGCUUAGCGGCGUAAGGCGGGGCCUGACGGAGCCUGGCAACAGAAUCCGUCGCU
rnacentral:tmRNA from 1 species